GCUGGCGUAGCUCAGUCGGUAGAGCAGCUCACUCGUAAUGAGCAGGUCGUCGGUUCAAGUCCGAUCGCCAGCU
rnacentral:tRNA from 4 species